CAAGCCCCUGUAGGAGAGAAAACAACUUGAUGACAUGUUCUGACUCCUCCCCCUUUAGCAGUCUUUACCUGAUGUGCUUUUCUAAUGUUCCUUCACUCUACGGGCUGCUUCUCAACAGCAAUUUCUCAAAGCAGGAGGCAGAUUACAGCCUGAGCAGCAACAAUGACCCAUCCAGACUUCAGCGCUAAAGCACUAACACCACUAUUUUCAUCAGCUGGUAGUGCUUUUGUAGUGGUCAUCUUUUUUGUUAUGUUUCAGUAUGUUUUUAAACUGGAGUUUGAUUGUCCAUGUGACCCUACAGAAAACCUGUGGUUUUGCCUGGUUUACAUUUUUCUCCCGGUUUUCAUUUUUUUUCAAAUUAUAAUACUAGCAGACAGAGUCUUUUUGGAACUUUGUUCGUCCCGUUAUUUCUUGGCAUGUACAAAGAGAGUUCUGAGAGCUUUGACAGUUGGUGGACUAUGGAUUGCAACAGCACUUUUAGAUGGUGACUGUGUAGUGUGUUUUUGGGCAACUUCAAGCAACACAACAGUCCGGACUGAACAACCCCCUUGCAAGAAAGAACCUACCAGUGAGGAAUUUGCAGACAUCAGAUAUUUCCAAAAUAUAUCACGUGUGUCCGGAUUGAUUGUGAUGGCUGGGAUAUUAUUUGUAUGGACACUAGUCUUCUGGUUUUCAAAAGGCAAAAAAUCUUUUAGUAAGUCCCUGUAUGGUGAAUAUGUACUGGAGGAGACAGACCACCUUCUGGAUACAAACAUUAAAGAAAUGGCCAAAGAAAGGGCAAAAGCUGCUGCAAAAAAUAAACUGAAAGAAUUUGGCCUACCUGAUGUUCCACAGCAGCAUUCAGUUCCUACUGCAAAUCCUUGAGACCAGCAAUAACUUCUAAAAAAUGAUGACUGCACAAUGAACAAGACCAGCAAAAAACUUCAAAUCCUUUGACCAUAUGACUAGGAACAACUCUUAAAUCCUGACCAACAACAAACUGACAAUGAAGAACAACCCUAACUGUAAUAUUGUACAGUACUGUAAAUACAUAAUAACAUAUCACAUAUUUUCUGGUAAAACCUUGAAUUUUUACUUUUGUUCUUUAUUUUUGAUAUAAUAUGAAUGCCAUGUUUUAAUUUACAUUGUAUUAGAACCAUUAGAAAUGCUUCAAAAUGACAAGAUAUGUAUCUUUUAUAGUGAAUUUUACUGAUGUUUUUCUUUUGUAAAGGUGCCAUUUUAGAUGUGGAAGAUAGAAGAUUUAUUUUCCUUUAUUAAAUGAAUACUUUGUAACAGAAUAUAUAGAUAUAUAUUUUUUGGAUGUGAUAAAGAAUAUUAUGGAGAGCUGUUUUAAUAAACUUUAAUCUUGAAUGAUAAGCUCACUGACUGUUUCACUUUAUAUAGAUAGUUAAUCAUCUUCUCUUAAAGGUUUGUGGUCUAUUCUGAAAUGAAAUCUAUUUAUAAAAAAAACCAAGCAAAAUACAACUUUAAAAUGCGUAAAACUUUUAACCCCAAAGACUGAUACAAAGGAUCAUUAAAGAUCAUCAGAAUCUCCCUCCCUGCCAUCACCAACAUCUACACCACAUGCUGCAUCUGCAAAGCCACCAGCAUUGUGGACGACCCCACCCAUCCCUCACACAGACUCUUCGCUCUGAUGUCGUCCGGCAAAAGAUACAGGAGCAUCUGAGCCUCCACUCCCAGACUUUGCAACAGGUUCUUCCACCCACCACUCUAUACACACACACAAAGACUGUACUGAACCCACCAUCACUCUACACACAAACGCUCUCAGCACACAGAGACUGAAAUAUCUCUAUCCCCUAUCAGCAAUAUUUGCUGCUCAUUCUAUAAGAACUAUAACUCUCUCUACCUCAGUAACUGCUGUGAUCAAGUAUGUUCUAUAUGUUACAGUAUGUUACAAAUCUAUGCACUAUAUUCUCACCAUGCAAAUUAUUAUAACGCAUCGGUACUGCACUCUCCUGUCUGUUAAACUGUCUCGUCUAUUGUAUUUUUUGUAGUGAUAUAGUUCUAUGUUGCCCAUUUGUCACACUUUUGCACUUUAUGUUGUCUAUUGUUUGUUGUUCCAUGUUGCAUCAUGGUUUCGGAGAAACGUAAUUUCGUUACACUGUGUACCUGUACUCAGAUGUAAUGACAAUGAAAGCCUCUUGACUUGA